UGGAGGCCGUUGGAUUCC
rnacentral:misc_RNA from 1 species